ACAAAACAAAACAGACACAAAGACCACUUUUCUGAAGGAGGAAGAGACUGAGGUUAAGAAAACAGACUGGAGAGCUCUUGCAGUAACCCAGGCAAAGCACAUGGCUGAUACAAGUGUAACUUCUGGUGCAGGAUUUUUUGUUGUUUUUAAAGACAGAGUCCCAUUGUGUAGGCCAGCUGGCCUGGAAGUCACUAUACAGACCAGGCUGGUCUGUAACUCCCAGAGACUGCCUAUGAUUGAGUGUGGAGUUUCUGAAUGCCAGUCAAGCACUCUACUACAGCCCCAGUUUCUGGAGCAUUCUUAAGAAAAUUUUCUGCAUGGGUGGAAAUAUAUCUAUGGUGCACAAAAUGGUAGCUACUAGUCACAUGUGGCUGUUGAACACUCUAAACAUGGCUUAUGUGAAUCUUACUAUUUCUUUUCAAUACUGGGGGAAAAAAUAGGGCCUUGCACAAGAGUGCUGUGGAAUAAUCCUCUGUACACUGUGAAAGUGUGUUGUUCUCAUUAUUAAUAAAAAGCUGAUUGGUUGAUAGCUAGGCAGGAUUUUUGGGACAGAGAGAAUACUGGACGCAGAGAGAAGUGAGAUGAACGCACCGUGUUGAAAGAAGGUACUGCCACGCGGCAGAGGGUAGAUAAGAAAUAUGGAUUGUUUAAAUGUAAGCAUUAGCUAAUAACAAGCCUGAGCUAUCGGAUGAGCUUUAUAAUUAAAAUUAAGUCUCUGUGUCAGUUAUUUGGAAACUGGCAGGUGGGAAAGAAAAGUCCACCUAUACAAGAGCUAUAUCUCUAGCACCCUUGCAUAUUUUUGUGUGUGCAUGUGGGUGUACUUAUUUGUGUGUACACCACUACACCCAGUUUAUGCAGUACUGGGGUUCAAACCCAGGUCUUGAGCAUGCUAGGCAAGCACUCUGAGCUACAGGCCCAGGAUUUGUCUGUUUUGGUUUUAGGCAGGGUCUUACUACGUGGACCAGGCUGGCUGGCCGGCCUCAACUCAGAGAUCUGCUUCUGCCUCUUGAGCGCUGAGAUUAAAGGUAUGCACUAACAUACCCAGCUUCCCCCACGCCCCAAAUAUUUACUUAUUUAUUUUUUGUUUUUUCAAGACAGGGUUUCUCUGUGUAGCCCUGGCUGUCCUGGAACUUGCUCUGUAGACCAUGCUGGCCUUGAAUUUACAGAGAUCCGCCAGUCUCUGUUUCCUGAGUACUGGGAUUAAAGGCAUACACCACCACUGCCUAGCUUCCAAGAUUUAUUCUUAUUUAUUUAUAUUGUGCAUGUGAGGGCAGGCAUUCUUAGAGACUAGAGUAGGGUGUCAUAGCCUCUAGAACUGGAGUGACAGGUAGUGGUGAGCUGCCUGAUGUGCGUGCUGGGAUCCAAACUCUAGUUCUCUCUAGGAGCAACAAGUGCUCUGAAGCACCAGACCAUCUUUCCAUCACCCUCAAACCACUGCCUUUUGUGGUUUUUUGGAGGCAGGAUUUUACUCUUUAGUUCAGUCUGGCCUUGAUCUCAUGGCCUGGGCUAAGUCUGUUUUUCUGGAGUGGAAAUACCUGUCCACAGGGCUGUCCCUGCCCUGGGUGUGUUGUAAGAGAGGCCUCAGAGGACAGGCAGUCACUCUGAAACCUGAACCAUCUUGGGAUCAAAUAAAAUGGGAAGAGAGUCAGAAAUCACAACUCCAGCAUCUUCUGGCCCGGCCAGGGCUGGGACACGGCUGCCUUUGACCAGCUUUAGGAGACUUCUCAAUACACUGUGGAAUAGGUAGUAGCUGUGGGGGACCAAAUGGGACAGGGCGGUGGGUGCCUACCCUUUCUUUACCUUUCAUUUACUCUUUGGCCUUGGGAGCAUCUGUCACAGAUCAUGCUUGGCUGUAGCCAAGGGCAACAUGCCAGUUUCCCAGAGGCAGUAACAGGAAGCUGGGACAUGGCAAGCUGCCCCUACUCCCAGCAGCCUCUUAGCCCAAGCACCAUUGUGUGUGUGUGUGUGUGUGUGUGUGUGUGUGUGUGUGUGUGUGUGUGUGUAUACUUGUCCAUUCGGGCACAUGUGAAGGCCAGAGGUUGGCAUUGGAAUGUCUUACCUGAAACACUUCACCCUCUCUAUCUAUCUAUCUAUCUAUCUAUCUAUCUAUCUAUCUAUCCCUUUAUCCAUCUAUCCAUCCAUCCAGAUACCCUCACUGAACCCGAAGCUCACUGUUUUAGCUAGACUGGCUGGUCGUGGAGUUACACCUCCUCCCGUCUCCGCUCCCCAGCACAGAGUUACAAGCAAUGCUGCAGCACCACUUUUUACACGGGUUCUGGGCGGGGUGGGUAAGACAUUUCCCAUUGGGCCUUCUACGCAGCCGGUUGUUUGUUUUUACAACAGGGUUUACUAUGUAGAUCCAACUGGUCUGGAACUUGCAGUGAUACGAGUUCUCCUGUCUCCUCAGUGUUGGCAUUACAGGUAUGAACCAGCAUGCCUAGUUAACAAACCCUUUAAAUAAUCCAGCUAUAUCUAAGGACUCGUUCUAAAAAUGUCUAUACAUGCAUAAAAUCAAAUACCUAAGAAAAAAUAACAGAAGCUAAUGAACUGCUAGAAAAACCAAAUAGGCAAUAUAUGAAAAGAGCUUUUUUUUUUCUUUUUCCAAGACAGGGUUUCUCUGUGUGGUUUUGGUGCCUGUCCUGGAUCUCGUUCUGUAGACCAGGCUGGCCUUGAACUAACAGAGAUCUGCCUGGCUCUGCCUCCCUAGUGCUUGGAUUAAAAGCGUGCGCCACCACUGCCUGGCUAACAAGGUGCCCGAAGCUGCGGGGUGGUAGGUAAAUAUCGGCCAGGAGGAUCCUGGCUUGUGCUGACACAAUCAUAGGAAAUAUGAACUAUCAGUUAUGGUUCCUCCUUUCCAAAUGGAAAGUUCUUCCUUAAAAUUUUCUUUUCUUAAGCUGGGUGUGGUGGCAUACACCUGUUACCCUAGCACUUAAGGGGCAGGUGGAUCUCUGUGAGUUGGGAGGCCAGCCUGAUCUAUGCAGUGAGAUUCUGUCUCAAACACACAAACCCUAAAACUUUCCUUUUUUCUCUUCUGUUUUCUUGUCUUAAUCACCUAUGUGCUGAGAUUACGCUUGGGUAUUCAUUACUGGUGCUAAGAUUUAACUCUUACAUGUGCUAGGCAAGUACUCUGCCAGUCACACCCAGCCUCUCAAUUUUUUUCAAGACAUUUGUGUCUUUUUAUUAAUUUAAAAAAUGAUUUAUUUUUAUUUUAUGUGCGUUGGUGUUUCACCUGCGUGGAUGUCUGUGUGAGGGUGCCAGAUCCCCUGGUACUGAAGUUACAAACAGGUGUGAGCUGCCAUGUGGGUGCUGGGAACUGAACUUGGAUCCUCUGGAAGAACAGCCUGUGUGCUCUUAACUGCUGAGUGAUCUCUCCAGCCCUCCUUUAAAAUGUUUUUUUUUUAAUUAUUAUUUUUUAUUUUUAUUUUUUAAGAUUUAUUUAUUUAUUUAUUUAUUUAUUUAUUUAUUUAUUUAUUUAUUUAUUAUGUAUACAGUGCUCUGUCUGCAUGUAUUCCUGCACACCAGAAGAGGGCACCAGAUCUCAUUACAGAUGGUUGUGAGCAACCAUCCCCUGAGCCAUCUCUCCAGCCCCUUAAAAUGCUUUUAAGGUGUGGGGGGGAAAUAUAUAUAUAUAUAUAUAUUUUUUGAGACAAGGCCUCGUGUAGCCCAGACUAUCCUCCAACUGUAUAUGCAGAUGAAAAUAACAUAAAACUUCUGAUUCUUGCUGGGCGGUGAUUUUAUUUUAAUUUUGUGUGUGUAGGUUUUUGCCUGCAUGGAUGUCUGUGCACCACAUGUGUGCAGUGCCCAAGGAGGCCAGAAGAGGGCGUCUGGCCCGGAUUUGGAGUUAGAGGGCUGCUAGCUGCUGUGUGGGUGCUGGAAAUUGAACCCUGGUCCUCUGCAACAGCAGGAAGUGCUCUUAACUGAGCCAUUUCUCCAGCCUCAGAUUUUGGUUUCUUCUGAUUUAUUCAUUGAAAGCAAUUUUUAUUUUUAUUUUUUGACAGGGUCUCUAUACCACAGCCCUUGCUAUGUCCUCAAACUCAGAUCUGCCUGACUCUGCCUCCCAAGUGCUCGGAUUAAGGCAUAUAUAUGCCACCACACCCAGUGAAAGGAAACAUUUUCAACACUGUGUGUGUGUGUAUGUACAUGCGUGUGUAGAUCUCUUACGGCAGUGGGUUCCUUCCCUUGGACACCUGAGUCCUGGGGAUUAUACUCAGAUCGUCAGGCUUGGGGCAAUCUCCGUUACCUGCUGAACCACUUAGUUAGCCCCAGAUGCUGGUGUCUAGAAGCCUUCUAGGCCUGAGGAGUGUGGCACAGUGAUUGACCAGCAGGAGUUGAGUUCUCAGGGUUUGGUUCCCAGCACCUUAAACACACUCACACAAAAUCAAGCUGGGUGUGGUGUGAUCCCAUCAGUGGGAGUCAGAGGCAGGAAGAUCACUGCAAGCUCCCAGUCAACCUUGUUUACACAGUUCCAGCCAGGGGCACCAAGAAAGUCUUUCUCCCAAAACAAACACACACAGGCUGAAGAUACGGCUCAAAGGUUAAGAGCACAUAUUGCUCUUAAGAGGAUCCAAGUUCAAUUCCUAGUUCUUAGGUCAGGUGGCUCAUAACCAUCUCUAACUCCAGCUCCAGAGGGAUUCAACACCUGGGGCCUCUGUGGGCACCUGCACUCACCAACACAUAUCCGCAGACACACAAACACACUUAAAAAUAAUAAAAUUAAUCUUAAAAAAAAAAA